UCUCCUUGAGGGGUCUCUGCCUCUAUUCAGGAUUUUUUCAUGACCAGGAGGCUGAGGCCCCUCGUAGGCGGC
rnacentral:pre_miRNA from 1 species